rnacentral:tRNA from 1 species
CGACGAUUCGCAAGGCAAGCUCGCCAUUCCCGCGCGCGGCGAUACCCUGCGCGUGUCGUUCGGCUGGUCCGAUACCGGCGUCGUCGAC